GAUGAACGCUGGCGGCGUGCCUAAUACAUGCAAGUCGAGCGAAGCGGGGACGGGUGAGUAACACGUGGAUAACCUCCUAUAAGACUGGGAUAACUUCGGGAAACCGGAGCUAAUACGGAUGCUUAUAGCUGGUUCCGCGCUGCAUUAGCUAGUUGGUAGGGGAACGGCUUACCAAGGCAACGAUGCAUAGCCGACCUGAGAGGGUGAGAGGCCACACGGGAACUGAGACACGGUCCAGACUCCUACGGGAGGCAGCAGUGGGGAAUAUUCCGCAAUGGGCGAAAGCCUGACGGAGCAACGCCGCGUGAGUGAUGAAGGUCUUCGGGUCGUAAAACUCUGUUAGUAAGGAGGCGGUACCUAAUCAGAAAGCCACGGCUAACUACGUGCCAGCAGCCGCGGUAAUUC
rnacentral:rRNA from 1 species